GCUGUAGUUCAGUUGGUAGAGCGCCAGAUUGUGAUUCUGGUUGUCGUGGGUUCGAAUCCCAUCAG
rnacentral:tRNA from 1 species